rnacentral:tRNA from 1 species
GUCCCCAUAGUUCAAUGGAUAGAACACGAUCCUCCUAAGAUUGAGAUACAGGUUCGAUUCCUGUUGGGGAUACCA